rnacentral:lncRNA from 1 species
GGAAAAGGAAGGAAUGGAGGAAAGAGGGAAAGAAAGAAGAAAGAGGCCAGCUGCCCAACAGACUGGUGCAAGAGUCAGGGUCCUCGCUGAAGGAAGACUUGGAGCUGCCUUAAAUUAACUCAGCCUUUUCUACUCGAGAGUUGGAGUCUCUGUACCUCCCAGCACACAUACAAAAGUGUCCAUGUGCGUGAACACACACACACGCACACACACACGCACACACACACACACUCAUCUGCUGGCCAAACCACAGGAAGAAAACAACGAAACCCCCAAAAUAUUAACCUAGGGAGUGCAGAUGUGGCCCUGCCUGGGCUGGCUGGGUUUUUUCUGGUGGAGGUGCGGGUCAGUGGCCCCUGGGAGGGACAUGUGUUUAUUCCCGGACAUUGCCCAGUGCCCUGUGUGCUAAUGUGGAGCUGAAAAGACCCCUGUAUUGUACAGGCUCCUUCCUCCGUGAAAAGGCAAUGGAGUCAGUGAGUUCCAAAUGGAUUGGAGCUGACAGUAAAUGAGAAUUUGGCAGUGGGUAGAAAACUACCUCUCCCCAGCCUCUGCCCCUGACCUAACUAACCCAUGCUCUCUCAGCCCUCCCUAAACUCCCAAUGCCUAUUUGCUUUGCAGAGGGAUUUGGCAAGGAAUUAGGAUUUCUUUUUGUACAUACGGUAACAUCAGCAGCCCGGGUUCUGUCCUGGCCGACCUGUGCCCAUCCCAGUCAUGGCCUGACCCCUCCCCACCUCCCAGUGCCUCACCACCUCAGUGGCUCCACCAGUGAUCACGAAGGAGUUAAGGGCUGAAUCAACUCUAGACCCAUCUGUGCAUUUUACUCUGGGUUCCUGAAUGAAGAGAUGUGCUUCGCUCAGCAGGAUCGGAGACUGUCUGCCCCAGUGACCCACCAGCCCCCGCCCUGCUGGGCUCCACCAUGGACCCGUGGGACCUGCUGCUGGGUCUCAGGACCUUCUCCAUGGGAAUCUGCAGAGCUGGCAGGUAGCCCAAGCCAUGGGGAUCUUGCCUGGUGCCCUCCCCAUGUCCAGCCUCCCCUAAGAGACCUGUUUUAAAGAAAGGGCACACAUUUUGAGCUGGCAUCACCCCUGGUUUGCAAAAAGGUCUUUCGAUUUGGAGGGUUUGUGUGUGCCGUGGGCCCUGCCCCUGCCCCACUGUGCUCCUCCACACUGUGUCUGCACCCAUAAAUCAGCCAACAGAUAGUUACUUGCAUCAGGUCCUCACUGAUGGCCACAUCCUUCGAUCUCGCCAUUUAAAAUUCCCAAGAGCCCCAGGGAGGGCAGUAUGGACACCCUCUUCUGUGCUGGUACCAUGGCCUCUCUUCAGCCUGACCAUCCUGCCUCAUUGGAGGGGUGGAGACUCUCCUAUUUCUGGGGGACAGGAGGCAAGGAGAAGUCCUUAUUUUGGCAGAAUUACAGCCUGUUCUUUAGGGGGGCACAUCCUAUGGCUGAGGAUGUUGUCAGCACCCCCUUUCUGGAAAGCCCUAGGGAGUCUGCCUGCUUUUGGAGCUGGGCUGUGAGCCUAACCCCUCAUUUGGUUUUUGUUUUUUUGGUUUUUCCCCUUUAAGUUUAUUGGUACAUUUUAGUUGAACAAUACAGUUACAUUCAUCAUUGGGAUCUUGUACCUUUACAUGAGUGUCUUGGCUCUUAUUUUUUUCCCUUUCCCCUGCCCUCCCUUCACCCCCUCCACCCUUCCCUAUUUGCAAAGACUUUGUUUCCAUUGUUUUCCUUUUCUCAUAUUUUUUCUUUUCCCUUCUUUCCUUUCCCCUGCCCCUCCCACUUCCCCUGCACUUUUAGACCUUUAUUUCCUAUUACACAAUAUUAAUUAUACAUUUUUUAAAUUAUAAUAUCAAAAUCUAGAAGAUAUUACCACCACAGAUUUUACAGAAUUUAAAAGGAUAUAGAAAGCAUAUUACAAAAAUCAUUUUUGAAAUAAAUUUGACAACUUCUAAGAAGUACCUUGGAAGACAAAUUAAUGAAACUGACUCUGGAGGAAAUAUAAAAUUUGAAUAGCACCUAUUAAACAAAGUAUAUUCCUAGCUUGAAAACCUACCUCUAUGACAGCAACAGGCUCCUAUACAUUUUAACUGAUAAAUUAUAUCAAACAUUUAAAGCAGACAAAAGAAGGAACACUUCUCCCCUCAUUUUAGGAAAUCAACAUUGUGCUAAUACAAAAACUGGAUAAAGAUAAUAAAAGAAAAAAAAUAUAAACAUAGAUAGAAAUUUGUUUAACAAAACAAACUAUUAGAAGUCAGAUCUGGCAGUAUGUAGAAAGUGGUUUUAUUAUAGGGAUGGUAGUGUUGCUAACCCCUCAUUUGUUAGGAGUGUUUUGGUUGUUUUUUAAAUUUUUUUCAGUACCAGGGAUUGAACCCAGAGUGUUUGCACUGAACUAUAUACUCCAGUCCUUUUUUAAUAUUUUUUGUUUUGAAACAGGGUCUCAUUAAGUUGCCCAGGCUGGGCUCAAGUAUGUGACUUGAGACAUAUCACUAACUCUUUUGAGCCACAGCUUCCUCAUUUGUAAAAGAACUAAUAACAGUACCUAUUCUGUGGGCUUGAAAUAAUACUGGAAAGGCAUUUGGCAACAAGGGACAGCUACUGUUGCUACCAUAUCUCCCAGUCUGUCAUCAUGAAAUUGAAUGGCAGCAGGCUCAGGCUUGUCCCUUUGCUUGGGCUUCAGGACCCCCAUGGCCAGGCUGGACCCCGGCCCUCUGGCUGUGGGCACCCAAAGUCUGCUGAAGUGUACUUGCCAAACCAGCAAGGCAAGCAUGCCUGUCCAGUCCAGAGCCAUGGAGGAGCAGGGAAAAGCCUUGCAAUGCCCAGGGAUGGGCUCUUGGAUGCCUCCCCCCGCACCCCCUCUGGAAGCCCUUGGACUGGCUUGGACAGUCGGGCUCAGGCAGGAGUCUACUCCCAGAUGCUGCUGCCAUCUUGGUUCACCUUGGCCUCUCUUCAGCAGAUGGGCGUGUGGCCCUUGCCCUCCCCCAGCAGCAGGUGGCCUUUGCAGCCUGGCACCUGUUCCUGGAGGUUGGCUGCCAGGAAGGUGCAAACCCAGGAAUCGCCCUCCUGAUGUGUCCUCUGCCAUAGCACAAGGCCCGUGUGCUGCCUAGAGGGGCUGGCCUGGGUCCGUCCUGGUGAAGGAGGUCGGAGGAGAGACUGCUUCUCCCAUCCCAGAGUCCCCUCCUCAUCCUCCAGGUGAGUCACAAGAGAGCCAAAACUUGCAUCCUGGGAUCUGUAUGCUGAGACCUGUUGGGGAGGAGCGGGGACUCGUAGGAGGAUGUGGAGGAAGUCGAACGGGUGUAGGUAGAGGGUCUUGCUUUUGUCUCCAAGGGGUAGCAAGCAAGCUGAGUUGCUCUCAGAUUUUCAUUUUAUUAAUAGAGGAAGGAAAUAGGCAUUUACUGAGUGGUCGAACUAUGUAUCAGAUCCUGUGCUGUGACUUUUUGUGGGAUUGAAGGGCACAAAGCAGGUAGUGGUUCAAUUCCUAUUGUCGCCGGCAGGAAAUUAGGUUCUGAUAGGUUAAGUAACUUACCUGGGUUCUUCCAGUUGAUUUAAGGAGGGCUGCAUUUUGAAAUGACUCAGAAAUGCACACUGUCUGCCAUGCAUUGGAAAAUACAGAACUGUAUUUUAUUUAUUUUUAUUUUUUUAUUUUUUUGGUACCGGGGAUGGAACUCGGGUCCUUGCACUUGCACAGCAGAUGCUGAAACCACUGAGCUAAAUCUCUGGCCCCAGAAUUGUAUUUUAAACAGUUUUUGAAACUAGUUAAAAGGAAAAACAAUCACCUAUAACUUAACUAUUGUGAUAUGACCUUAUUUAUCAUUUAGUGUAUUUCUUUCUCGUGCAAUGUAUACUUUACAAAUUUAGGAUCAUUAGAGGGAAUGGUGAGGGUUGGGUCCCCGGAUGAGAUAGGAAGUACUCCUGAGCUAGGGCUACCGAGGGCCGAGAGUGUCAGCAAAAUGAGAACCUGGGUUUGGCUCCGAGCCAUCUUAUCAGUCAUGAGACUCUUGAAGCCGUGUAGGAGAAGUAAUCUGGGUACAGGGACCGGCAAGCCAGACCCCCAUAUACUCUCCUGAGUUGGUUUUGCCCAGUUAAGUGGUAGAAUUUUCCUUUUAACUCGCUUCCUUCUUGCUUUUGACAAAUGGGGAUAUUUGUACCAUUUUCCCGAAUGACCUCUUCUCCUUGGGGUAAUGAGAAAAUGAAAGUCUUUGCUAAGUGCUUUGAGAUAUUCAGAUAUAAAAAUGGAGAGCAGAGUGUUGUCAUGGGCCUUUUGCUGCCAGGGCGCUUUAGAAAGAGGAAGUGCAGUUGGUAGGGAGUGAAGGUCAACUCCAGGAUGGGGGCCGUUGCUGGAACCCAGUCCCUCUGGGCUUCAGGGCAGGGGAGUUCAUGGCCUGGCUCAGGAGGGGUGGAGUUUUCGGGCUGCCCCUGCCCAGCCUCCAGGUGCAGACUCCAAGGCCGGGCCCCACAGCCAAGGUGAUGCAGAUCACUCAACCAGAGCCCCUUCCUUGACUCGCAUCUUGGGGAUAAAUGAUCCAACUCAAGGAGAGGUGUCCCCCGUCUCUCUCCGUAGCAUCAGCCCAAGAAUAACACAGCGGCCUAAAUACUGUGUCACCUACACAAAUAAUCAUCCCGGAGAUGAUUUCGAAACAUGGAAAAAUGCAUAUGAAAUGCAUGAAAGUGCCCCCCCACCCUGUUUGUGGAGUGUCAUGUAGGCCACGAUGGAAACUGUAUAAAAAUACAAAUGCUCAAGGACAAAGCUUGCGAGGUAGUCCUCCAAAAUGAAAAUUAUAGUGUUAAGGGCAGCGGGAUCGAGGUGAUUUGUUUUUUAUUUCACAACAUUUUAUUUAAAUUCCCCCUAUGAUUAAAAACCAACAAAGCCAACGUGUCGGCCCAGCAGGG